UGGAAGUGGACUUCAUUAUAAAGUAUAAAGCUUUGACGAGGGCAAAUCGACAAAAUCAAUUAAUCCAUAUUUGUUUUUUCUAAUAAAAAAAAUCAUUGUUGCAAAUCAGAAAAUAUAGCUGAUAAAACAAGAACAGCGGAUUGAACGCCAAUCCUGCAGAUCAGCCCAAGAAAUUGCAGAAGUGGCUGAUAGGUGCCCCACGCAACUUGCAGACCUCCUAAUAUAAGCGACAAAAUAAUUAAUAAUUUCUUUAAGUAAAACUUGGCGAUUUGAGGUUAAACUACUAAAAUAAGAUAGAUCCCUGUAGAACUCAUUUACUGUCCGGACAAAAACAAGGGAAUCAUUUUCAAAAAUAAUAUUUUGCAAAGACCUCUUUUUCACCCAACUAAUGGCCUCCCGCAAAGAUAUUGCUUCUGCAACUGUUGCAUCUGGACACUAGCAUGAGAGACCUGGCAUGCAUUUAAAACUUUCCUUUCAUGAUCAUGAACUACCCAGCCUGCCCCAAUCUUCCCCACCCCAGCAAAAACAGAUGCAUCAAUGUUGCAUUCCAACAUACCAACAGCAGACUGCAUCCAACGCACGACAGAGGGAGAAUUUGCUACAAAAACUUCAAGACACAAAAUAGGCUUAGACUAAGCCUCUUUCCACUGCUGAAGAAAAGAGGACGCCUUCAAGAGAAUCUGGGUAGCCAUAGCAGGUCUCCUAUUCCAAAGCAUAUCAUUUCUAGCAAACCAAAUAACUCAAAGAGUAGCACAAAACACCAUCAGGUCCUCCUUUCUUAUAAGUCUAAAUAUUUCCUCCAACCAUGCUACAGCUCUAUUUUGAGAGAGAAUAGA
rnacentral:misc_RNA from 1 species